rnacentral:rRNA from 1 species
AAACUGCCUCCAAUACUGUUGGGCUAGAGAGUAGUUGCGGUAGGCGGAAUGUAUGGUGUAGCGGUGAAAUGCUUAGAGAUCAUACAGAACACCGAUUGCGAAGGCAGCUUACCAAACUAUAUCUGACGUUGAGGCACGAAAGCGUGGGGAGCAAACAGGAUUAGAUACCCUGGUAGUCCACGCAGUAAACGAUGAUAACUCGUUGUCGGCGAUACACAGUCGGUGACUAAGCGAAAGCGAUAAGUUAUCCACCUGGGGAGUACGUUCGCAAGAAUGAAACUCAAAGGAAUUGACGGGGGCCCGCACAAGCGGAGGAACAUGUGGUUUAAUUCGAUGAUACGCGAGGAACCUUACCCGGGCUUGAAAGUUAGCGACAGACAUUGAAAGAUGUUUUCCCUACGGGGCGCGAAACUAGGUGCUGCAUGGUUGUCGUCAGCUCGUGCCGUGAGGUGUCGGGUUAAGUCCCAUAACGAGCGCAACCCCUACCGUUAGUUGCCAUCAGGUCGAGCUGGGCACUCUGGCGGGACUGCCGGUGUAAGCCGAGAGGAAGGUGGGGAUGACGUCAAAUCAGCACGGCCCUUACGUCCGGGGCUACACACGUGUUACAAUGGUAGGUACAGAGGGCAGCUACCCUGCGAAGGGAUGCGAAUCUCGAAAGCCUAUCUCAGUUCGGAUUGGAGGCUGAAACCCGCCUCCAUGAAGUUGGAUUCGCUAGUAAUCGCGCAUCAGCCAUGGCGCGGUGAAUACGUUCCCGGGCCUUGUACACACCGCCCGUCAAGCCAUGGGAGCUGGGGGUGCCUGAAGUUCGUGACCGCGAGGAGCGACCUAGGGCAAAACCGGUGACUGGGGCUAAGUCGUAACAAAGGUAGCCGUAAGCC